rnacentral:rRNA from 1 species
ACCCACCACAGAAGGUAAUAGUCCUGUAUGUUAAACGAGAAGACUUUAGAUAUGAUCCAGAGUACCACGGGACACGUGAAACCCUGUGGGAAGCAGGAGGGACCACCCUCCAAGGCUAAAUACUACCUAGUGACCGAUAGCGUAUAGUACCGUGAGGGAAAGGUGAAAAGAACCCCGGGAGGGGAGUGAAAUAGAACCUGAAACCCUGCACUUACAAGCUGUGGAAGCACAUUUCUUGUGUGACCGCGUACUUUUUGUAGAACGGGCCAACGAGUUACGUUAAGUAGCAAGGUUAAGCACUUAAGGUGCGGAGCCGUAGCGAAAGCGAGUUUUAACUGAGCGUUCAGUUACUUGACGUAGACCCGAAACCGGGCGACCUACCCAUGAGCAGGAUGAAGCGAAAGUAAAAUUUCGUGGAGGUCCGAACCCACGAGCGUUGAAAAGCUCGGGGAUGACUUGUGGGUAGCGGUGAAAUUCCAAUCGAGCCCGGAGAUAGCUGGUUCUCCCCGAAAUAGCUUUAGGGCUAGCCUCAAGGUGAGAGAUACGGAGGUAGAGCACUGAAUGUCCUAGGGGGUAUUGCACCUACCGAAGACUAUCAAACUCCGAAUGCCGUCAUCUUAUACUUGGGAGUCAGACUGUGGGUGAUAAGAUUCAUAGUCGAAAGGGCAACAGCCCAGAUCGUCAGCUAAGGUCCCUAAAUGUAAGUUAAGUGGUAAAGGAUGUGGGAUUGCACAGACAACCAGGAUGUUGGCUUAGAAGCAGCCACUCAUUCAAAGAGUGCGUAAUAGCUCACUGGUCGAGUGAUCCUGCGCCGAAGAUUUCCGGGGCUAAAACUUACUACCGAAGCUACGGCAUCAGUAAUGAUGGGUAGGGGAGCUUCCCAUACGGGUUGAAGCAUGACCGUAAGGACAUGUGGACAGUAUGGGAGUGAGAAUGUUGGCAUGAGUAGCGAGAUGUGGGUGAGAAUCCCACAGGCCGUAAACCCAAGGUUUCCAGGGGAAGGUUCGUCCGCCCUGGGUUAGUCGGGACCUAAGCUGAGGCCGAAAGGCGUAGGUGAUGGACAACAGGUUGAUAUUCCUGUACUACCGAUAACCGUUUGAGAGAAGGGAUGACACAGUAGGAUAAGCUAAGCACACUGUUGGUUAUGUGUGCCCAAGCAUUGAGGCAGUCAAAGUAGGCAAAUCCGCUUUGAUAAUGCUGGGAUGUGAUGGGGAGCGAAAUUUAGUAGCGAAGUAGCUGAUUUCACACUGUCAAGAAAAGUCUCUAUCGAGGUUAAAGGUACCCGUACCGCAAACCGACACAGGUGGGUGAGGAGAGUAUCCUAAGGCCAGCGAGAGAACUGUUGUUAAGGAACUCGGCAAAAUGACCCCGUAACUUAGGGAUAAGGGGUGCCACCAUCAGGUGGCCGCAGAGAAUAGGCCCAAGCGACUGUUUACCAAAAACAUAGGUUUCUGCUAAGUCGCAAGACGAUGUAUAGGAGCUGACGCCUGCCCGGUGCUGGAAGGUUAAGGGGAUCUGUUAGAGCAAUCGAAGCAGUGAACUUAAGCCCCAGUAAACGGCGGCCGUAACUAUAACGGUCCUAAGGUAGCGAAAUUCCUUGUCGGGUAAGUUCCGACCCGCACGAAAGGCGUAACGAUUUGGGCACUGUCUCAACAACAGACUCGGUGAAAUUGUAAUUCCGGUGAAGAUGCCGGAUACCUGCGACAGGACGGAAAGACCCCAUGGAGCUUUACUGUAGCUUGACAUUGGGUCUUGGUACUACAUGUACAGGAUAGGUGGGAGGCUUUGAAACCAGGACGCCAGUUUUGGCGGAGCCAUCCUUGGGAUACCACCCUUGUAGUACUGGGACUCUAACCAUAGGCCAUGAAUCUGGUCUUGGGACACUGUCAGGUGGGCAGUUUGACUGGGGCGGUCGCCUCCCAAAAGGUAACGGAGGCGCUCAAAGGUUCUCUCAGUACGGUCGGAAAUCGUACGUAGAGUGU